CCUACGGGGGGCAGCAGUGAGGAAUAUUGGUCAAUGGGCGCAGGCCUGAACCAGCCAAGUCGCGUGAGGGAAGACUGCCCUAUGGGUUGUAAACCUCUUUUAUAAGGGAAGAAUAAUGACUACGUGUAGUCAGAUGCCCGUACCUUAUGAAUAAGCAUCGGCUAACUCCGUGCCAGCAGCCGCGGUAAUACGUAGGGGGCAAGCGUUAUCCGGAUUUACUGGGUGUAAAGGGGGCGCAGACGGCGAUGCAAGCCAGGAGUGAAAGCCCGGGGCCCAACCCCGGGACUGCUCUUGGAACUGCGUGGCUGGAGUGCAGGAGGGGCAGGCGGAAUUCCUGGUGUAGCGGUGAAAUGCGUAGAUAUCACGCAGAACUCCGAUUGCGAAGGCAGCAUACCGGCGCCCAACUGACGCUGAAGCACGAAAGCGUGGGUAUCGAACAGGAUUAGAUACCCUUGUAGUC
rnacentral:rRNA from 1 species